ensembl:lncRNA
CCCCUGGACGCCACCCCCGCCCCCCGCCCGCCGGCCCUCACCCGCCCCCGGGCUCCCGCCGCGCGCUGACCGAGCCGUCCCUGCGCAGGAGGAUGUCCCCGUGUCCCGGAUGCGCCGCCCCGCCCCGCGCCCGCAGCCCGCGGCAGCACUGGAAGCACACGGCCCACGCCUGCUCCUCGUUGAUGGGCUGCUCGUACGCCUUCAGCAACCUCCUCCAAGGACAGCUCCCACGGCUCGGGCCGCCCGCCGCCCCGGCCCGCUGCCCCCGGCCGAGUCGCCGCUGGAGCUGCCGGCCCGGGCCAUGGCCGCCCCAUCAUCGCCGCCCGCGCGCCGGCCCUUUCCAUAACAGCCGCGCCGGGGCCGGCGCGCCGCCGGGAGCGCGGGGGUUGGAUCCCGCGCCGCCGGCCGCUGCUUUGUCAUCGUCGGGCUCCGCCCAGCGCGAGCGGCCGCAGAUGAUGAGAGCGAGGAAGACCUGCCAUAGGAAGCACAUAAGGAAAUCACGGGAGGAGCGGCCAAGACACCGGAGUAGGACGCUCUUAGCUCACCCUGUCCCACGAAUACACCGAGUGACAUCUACGAACACACCCAUCCACUCGGAACACCUGCUGAACUUUGACAGAACAUCACCUUCUUCAAAAAACAAAAUUCACCAUAAGUCUGAUAAACAAGUUUAUACGGUAUCUUGUAGUAGCUUAAGGUGAAGAAGAAUAUAAAAACGAAUAUAUGUAUGUUCACGUAUGAAUGAAACAUUGCGCUGUACACCAGACAACUGACACAUUGUAAACUGACUACACUUCAACCAAAAAAAGUAAAAAAAAACUUUCCAGCUCACAUCGGCAUUUAGAGCUCAGGUGUCUCCGUGAGAAGCAAGCAGAGGCCCAGUUUAGGGCCAUGGAGCAAUGCUCCUCUGGAAACCGGGUGCCUUCAUCCCAGACCAGCUCUUUCUCUCGGUGAUGGUGUUUCUUGACACAGGUUCGUGAGCCCAGCGCACAGUGAGGCCAAACUGCAACACUGGAGUUUGGAGCAGAGAAAGGUUUAUUGCAGGGCUGAGCAAGCAGAUUGGGCGGCUUGUGUUAAAAAACAAAAAAACAAACAAAAAAAAAUCAAAAAGAAACAAAACUCCCCAAUAGUUUUGGGGAGAAGCUUUUAUAGACAAAAUUUGGGGUGAGGUCUGUAGGGCAUGUGACUUUCUUCUGACUGGUUGGUGGUGAGGUAACGAGGCGGUGCUCCAGGAAUCCUGUGCUCAGCCUGAAGUUGCCAUCCUCCACCUGGGUGGGGGCCUUCGUUCCUGCAGAAGAACUCAGGGAUAUUGUCAUACUCCUGGAGGAGGAACCAGGACCGGACCCACCACGGCACUAUUAUUUCUUGACUGCUCCUCCUUGCUGCGCUCCCUCCCUCCCCUGACUAGCCACUGUUUGAAUCUGCCCUUUGGAACUCAGGGAAGGUCAGGGAGGCUGGGUGGAAGCCAUUUCCUACAAACUAGAAACAGGGCGGGGAAGGCUCCCCAGCUUAUGCAGCCAAGAAUAGCAGUGGCACAGCCACUUUGUGGUGGAAAAUUGGAGGCUGGGGUAUGCUAUCUGCUGAAUAAAUUGUGCGUCAACCUGGGACUCAGGUUGAUCUUCCUGUCUAACCUUGACCCCACCCACUGGUUAUGCAUAGAGGGAAGUGAAAAUAUGCAGGCCUGAGUUGUAACAGCGACAGCAGGAAACCCUCAGUGAGUAGUCCUGCAUGUAGGAGUGUCUACACAGCGGUUCAGGAGAGGCCCUGACUCACAUCACACAAUGCCAGGUGUGUGUGAUCUGGGGCACCGUCUUCCCUCCUGUGGUUGUUCCUGAUGGGCCCACACAAGGGGUGGUUUCUGCUUUCAGAUGCCAUGGGAAUCAAGACUUCCACUCGAAACACCUCUGGGCGAGGUGUCACCACCAGUGCACCAGAAGUUGGGGUCACUGCUCCCACCAUAGGCCGAGACACCCCUCCCCCUCCUGGUGGCAGGAGCAUCUCAGGAGGGGCACCCUCAGCACAGUGCAGUGAGUGGCUAGAACAAAAGAUGGUAAUUUCUCUAAUU